UUUAGUGUUAGGGACAGAUCAGAUGGCAAGGGAGACUUGAGACUUGACUUGGACUCUUGGCAAAAGACUUGAGACUUGACUUGGACUCAAGCUCAAUGACUUGAGACUCAACUUGGACUUCCAAAAAAUGACUUGUGAACAACUCUACUGUACAUA